GCAUCUCAUGGCCCAAGAUCUCACAGCCCAAGCUGGCUGUGGCAGCGGGGAUUCUCCCUUUUGCUGCCACUCAGGGGACUGAAUCUGCAGCUGAGUUGCUUUAGAGCAGGGCUGGGUGGGGAGCCAUCUUCCAACCCUGCUGGCAGGAUUUGCCCACCACUCUGCCCAGGACUGGGGCUGGGCUGGUGCAGCCAGCCUGACAAAAACAGCUGUGGGUGGGGGUAGCAGAGAGGGAGGUCAGAACCUGUGCCCCAGGUUUGGUGUGCAGGCAAGAGGAAGGGCUUGGACUGCUCCACUCGCCCUGUUUGUCUUGGCUUCAUAAUAUGUUUGGGGCAAUGCAGGCAGGGAGAAUGAGGGCAUGGUUUUUCCCCAGCACGCAGUGGUAUUUCCUUUGCGUGUCAUGGUCAGGCCUAGCCAGGGCUUCCGCUGUCCUCUUCCCACACCAGUGGCUCCUUUUCCAACCCAAAGUUUGUACACCAGUCCCAGAUGCUGGUGAGAGGGCAGUGGUCACCCUGUGUGCCACUGCUGCAGCCCCUGCACGCCCAGGGAUGCUGGGGCCAGGCUCUGGGAGCAGCAGCAACCCCCUGAUGAACUCCAUCUGUAUUCCACAGGAACACCAUCAUACAGCCCCCCGGAAUGGACCCGCUUUGGCUGGUACCAUGGCGAGCCAGCUACCAUCUGGUCCCUGGGCAUCCUGCUGCACCAGAUGGUCUGUGGGAAGAUGCCUUUCAGGAGGGGCUGGAACUUCAGCUGGGGCCAGCUCUCACUGCCACAACGGCUCUCUCCAGAGUGCCAAAAUCUGAUCGGGUGGUGUUUAUCCAUGCACUUCUUGGACAGACCCUCAUUAGAAGAGGUGUUCUGUCAUCCUUGGAUGCAGGAUAUUCAUCUGCCCUAGAAGAAGGGAGAGAGCCAAAGUCACACUGUGAUGCAGGGCCCUGCUGGGGCCCUGGGCAGAGCCCUGACAGCCUGGUCUCACCCCAGGGAAGGAGAAGGAACCCCCCAGAGAAGCUGUACCGGAUGGGGCUGCUGCUGCAGGAGACAGCGAGGAUGACAUGAAGGAUGACAACCUCUUCCUCAACCUGGCCACCAGCAGUUGAAGAGGAAGCGUUCUAGGUGGAGUCCAGUCUGGAUUGGGAAGUGCUUGGGAGCAGCUGCAGCGUGGAUGGGCCGUGCCCUUGGAGCAGGCUGAGGACAUCGUUUGGGACCAGCUUUUUUUCCAGCCAUGGAUGGCGUGAGCCGGGCUCUGCGGAUGCUGAGGCUGCUCUGGGCUCUGCCAGGGCUCUGCUGGAGCUCAGCACCGGGCCGGAAUCAGCCAAAGAAGAAAUGGUGUCACCUGCAGCACAGACUUGCUUGAGCAUUUUGGCAACACAGCUCAAGUUUGCAGAGUGUACACCUCCAAGGGAAAACAUGACACCUCCCAAAAAUUAAACUUCUUCAAUAGCUUCUGAAAUGAAAUCAAUCUGGGAUGACUCCAAAUGACAUUUUUCAGCUUGCUCAAGCUGUAGCUCAGCCCUUCUCUGAACAGUUAUCUCCCCCACUUGCCUUUUACUUCUCAACUGCUCCCUCUUUUCCCCCAGUGAAUUCCCAGCCUGUUGCUGUCUCCAUCACUCGGUGGACUUCCUUGUUGCCCCUGACCACAAGGAAGGCUGAGCCCCAGGCUUGGGGACUCAUGCUGUCACUGGCUGAGGAGCAGCAAUGUCUCAGAGGUCCAGUGGGAUUUUAGUGUCAUUCAGAGCCACUCUCCAGCCCUCAGCUCUCCUCACUGCUGAGUUCCCACUCCCUUUUCCUUGUCCUUGCAGCAGGCUGAGCUCUGUGAAUCCCUUUGAGCUUCCCCACUCUUCCCAGGUGAUGCACCCACCUCAGUAAGGCUGAAGCUGAAGCUUCUCUGUCUC